rnacentral:misc_RNA from 1 species
AACGCAUAUUGCGCUCUCUGGUAUUCCGGAGAGCAUGCUUGUUUGAGUAUCAGUAAACACCCUCAGAGCUUUUUUUCCUUGAUUUUUCGAAUCUUGGGGCUCUGGAUUUGAGUGAUCCCAACGUGGUCUUUUUCGAAAGGACAUGGCGGGCCACUUGAAAUACAGGUGCAGCUGAACUUUCUUCUGAGCUAAAAGCAUAUUUAUUUAGUCCUGUCAGCACAUGUGCUGCCGGAUUAUUACUUCUGCUGCAGCUUACAUAAAGGUUGACUGUUCAAAUGCUGACUGAUACAGAAUUUUUAGCACAGAAAGCGUAAGCGAUCCCUGUGCUGUUAAACUCGAUCUCAAAUCAAGUAAGACUACCCGCUGAACUUAA